AGCGAACGCUGGCGGCAGGCCUAACACAUGCAAGUCGAACGAACUCUUCGGAGUUAGUGGCGGACGGGUGAGUAACACGUGGGAACGUGCCUUUUGGUUCGGAAUAACUCAGGGAAACUUGUGCUAAUACCGAAUGUGCCCUUCGGGGGAAAGAUUUAUCGCCAUUAGAGCGGCCCGCGUCUGAUUAGCUAGUUGGUGAGGUAACGGCUCACCAAGGCGACGAUCAGUAGCUGGUCUGAGAGGAUGACCAGCCACACUGGGACUGAGACACGGCCCAGACUCCUACGGGAGGCAGCAGUGAGGAAUCUUGCGCAAUGGGCGAAAGCCUGACGCAGCCAUGCCGCGUGAAUGAUGAAGGUCUUAGGAUUGUAAAAUUCUUUCACCGGGGACGAUAAUGACGGUACCCGGAGAAGAAGCCCCGGCUAACUUCGUG
rnacentral:rRNA from 1 species